UUCGGCUGAGGCAAUGUGCCUCUUUACGUCCCCAUACGCAGCUCUGAGUCUAUGGAAUGUAAAGAAGUACGUUGCUUCUGCGGAG
rnacentral:pre_miRNA from 1 species